AAAAAAAAAGGCUACUCUUCUUCUUCUCAAGAUUUUUUUCCCCUCUUUCCUGUUUCUUCCUCUUCUUUGACCUUCUCCCUCUUCUCCCGUCUGUUUUCUUCGAUCAUUUCUUAUUAUAUUCUUCUCCACCGCCGCGACAUCGAUUCUCCUUGAUUCUCCCUUGCGUCGAUCCACCUUUUCUCUACGCCGUUUUCACUCUCCGGUGUCGUCAACACUUCUUAACUCCAUUCCCGUCUUUACAAAUUUUAGUUCAUCAAAUCCGAAUGAGUUGUUUGGCUUCAUGAAUCACGGCUUGGACUGCUUUUUCAACUCUCAAGCUUUUCUCAUCCACGAUCUCCUCUACAAUCUUAAUUUCUCAAGUGGACCUUGAUUAAUGAUUUGAUUUAGGUCCAAAAAUAAUACUUUU
rnacentral:sRNA from 1 species